GAACACGCAGCCAUCCUGGUAUAGUAACCAUGGCGAAGGUUCCAAGCUACCGCGUUGUGCUCUUUUUGGCCGCAUUCCUUUUUGUUCUGUCAGCGCUGCUGAACAACGGCCAGUCAUGUGCCAAUGCAGCCCCGACUCGCCGUCCUCAACCUCGUCCGCCAGCACGUCCGCCAGCACGUCCGCCAGUACGUCCAGGGAUUGUUCCUGGAUCACCUCCCGCACAAGGUGGUGGCAGGCCACGUCCUCCACAAGUGGGAGCGAAUGCAUGGAGAUAUCCAGCGGGUGGAAAUCAAAAUCAUGGCAGCAAUCACGGCUAACAGAACUUGUGCUGGAUAACUGUUCACGACGAGUGAACGAGUGAUUGCACCUACAGCUGAAUAAAGUGCUUUGAGGUGUAAUAUGCUUGUUUGUUUUCUCGU
rnacentral:lncRNA from 1 species